AUACACGUUUUUAAACAUCCUUUUGUGUGUAAGUGUGCAUUAGUACAUGCUAACGAUAUUCAAAAAGUACAUACCUCAAAGAAAACGAUGACGCGAGUUAUCGUCUCUAACGUUCGAGGACUACAAAAAACACUCGGAUUGUAGGCAACAGUUUACUUCCUGGGAUUAGUGACGUAGAUAAGACCAACAUUAUCAUAGUUCAGCCCUCUCUGCUUUGCUUGGGUACGCCCUCAAAGAUGGGGGUGGGGAGCGCCGAGUCAGAAGAGAGCUAAAAUGGCGGAGGUUGUGAGUCCCUGCUUUGACUCUGUUUGCAAACUCUUGUUUCAUUGUUUAAGCGAUUAAAUCUCUCGAGUAGACGCUGUCUCUUUAGAUGCGAGGGCAAAAUAGCACUUUAUGGACUUCCACAGAGGACAUCGUGUUUAAUACGGUUCCGGAAAAAUCCAGUCAGAAGUUGUUCACGGAGUUUUCACAAUAACUGCUUCUCAUGAACCGAAGCUGGAUUUGCACGACGUCUCCUCUUGAAAGUUGGAUUACUGUGCACUUCUGGAUCACAGGCUAUUCGCAGCUGGACACAUCCUUCUACACUGUAUGCAAACAUGCAACAUCAUUACACACAGUACAAGGAGUCAGACUGGCAUAUGAGGAGCAAAGGAACCCAGGCAGUAGCAUCGUUUCACAAUGUUUCCAUCACCAUCAUCAGUGGAUGCCUUUGCCGUCCGUAGCCUGAGAUUUCAGAUUUGCAGC